UACGUAGGGUGCAAGCGUUGUCCGGAAUUAUUGGGCGUAAAGAGCUCGUAGGUGGUUUGUUACGUCUGCUGUGAAAUCCUAGGGCUUAACCCUGGGCUUGCAGUGGAUACGGGCAGACUAGAGGUAGGUAGGGGAGAAUGGAAUUCCUGGUGUAGCGGUGAAAUGCGCAGAUAUCAGGAGGAACACCGGUGGCGAAGGCGGCCAUCUGGACGGAUACUGACGCUGAGACGCGAAAGCGUGGGUAGCAAACAGG
rnacentral:rRNA from 1 species